UGGUUCUGGCAUCGAUGAAGAACGCAGCGAAAUGCGAUAAGUAAUGUGAAUUGCAGAAUUCAGUGAAUCAUCGAAUCUUUGAACGCACAUUGCGCCCGCUAGUAUUCUGGCGGGCAUGCCUGUCCGAGCGUCAUUUCAACCCUCAGGCCCUGUUCUGCCUGGUGUUGGGGCACUCUACGGCGCUUCGGCGCCCGUAGGCCCUCAAGGUUAGUGGCGGGCUCGCUACGGCUCCGAGCGCAGUAGAUUUAUUUCUCGCUUUGGGCGCCGCCGCGGGUGACCGGCCGUUAAAACUAGGGAUCGUCUGCCCCCGCGGACCCCCUAUAACGCAUGGUUGACCUCGGAUCAGGUAGGAUUACCCGCUGA
rnacentral:misc_RNA from 1 species